rnacentral:tRNA from 1 species
GCGCCUGUAGCUCAACUGGAUAGAGCAACGGCCUUCUAAGCCGUAGGUUGCAGGUUCGAGUCCUGCCGGGCGCACCA